UGGGGAAUUUUGGACAAUGGGGGCAACCCUGAUCCAGCCAUGCCGCGUGAGUGAAGAAGGCCUUCGGGUUGUAAAGCUCUUUCGGCGGGGAAGAAAUGGCAACGGCUAAUAUCCGUUGUUGAUGACGGUACCCGCAUAAGAAGCACCGGCUAACUACGUGCCAGCAGCCGCGGUAAUACGUAGGGUGCGAGCGUUAAUCGGAAUUACUGGGCGUAAAGCGUGCGCAGGCGGUUUCGUAAGACAGACGUGAAAUCCCCGGGCUCAACCUGGGAACUGCGUUUGUGACUGCGAGGCUAGAGUACGGCAGAGGGGGGUAGAAUUCCACGUGUAGCAGUGAAAUGCGUAGAGAUGUGGAGGAACACCGAUGGCGAAGGCAGCCCCCUGGGUUAGUACUGACGCUCAUGCACGAAAGCGUGGGGAGCAAACA
rnacentral:rRNA from 1 species